GGGGAAUAUUGGACAAUGGGCGAAAGCCUGAUCCAGCCAUGCCGCGUGGAUGAUGAAGGCCUUAGGGUUGUAAAGUCCUUUCGACGGGGAAGAUAAUGACGGUACCCGUAGAAUAAGCCCCGGCUAACUUCGUGCCAGCAGCCGCGGUAAUACGAAGGGGGCUAGCGUUGCUCGGAAUCACUGGGCGUAAAGCGCACGUAGGCGGAUUUCUAAGUCGAGGGUGAAAUCCCGGGGCUCAACCCCGGAACUGCCUUCGAUACUGGGAGUCUUUGAGUUCGGGAGAGGUGAGUGGAACUGCGAGUGUAGGGGUGAAAUUCGUAGAUAUUCGCAAGAACACCAGUGGCGAAGGCGGCUCACUGGCCCGAGACUGACGCUGAGGUGCGAAAGCGUGGGGAGCAAAC
rnacentral:rRNA from 1 species